rnacentral:rRNA from 1 species
UACGGGGGGGGCAAGCGUUGUUCGGAAUUACUGGGCGUAAAGGGCUCGUAGGCGGCCAACUAAGUCGGACGUGAAAUCCCCAGGCUCAACCUGGGAACUGCGUCCGAUACUGGAUGGCUUGAAUUCGGGAGAGGGAUGCAGAAUUCCAGGUGUAGCGGUGAAAUUCGUAGAUAUCAGGAGGAACACCAGUGGCGAAGGCGGCUUCCUGGACACCAACUGACGCUGAGACGCGAAAGCGUGGGGAGCAAACAGG